CUUGCUUCUGAUUGAUAACAUUUGAGUGAGUGGCGGACGGGUGAGUAACACGUGGGUAACCUGCCCUAAAGUGGGGGAUAACAUUUGGAAACAGAUGCUAAUACCGCAUAAAACCUAGCACCGCAUGGUGCAAGGUUGAAAGAUGGUUUCGGCUAUCACUUUAGGAUGGACCCGCGGUGCAUUAGUUAGUUGGUGAGGUAAAGGCUCACCAAGACCGUGAUGCAUAGCCGACCUGAGAGGGUAAUCGGCCACACUGGGACUGAGACACGGCCCAGACUCCUACGGGAGGCAGCAGUAGGGAAUCUUCCACAAUGGACGAAAGUCUGAUGGAGCAACGCCGCGUGAGUGAAGAAGGUUUUCGGAUCGUAAAACUCUGUUGUUGGAGAAGAACGUAUUUGAUAGUAACUGAUCAGGUAGUGACGGUAUCCAACCAGAAAGCCACGGCUAACUACGUGCCAGCAGCCGCGGUAAUACGUAGGUGGCAAGCGUUGUCCGGAUUUAUUGGGCGUAAAGCGAGCGCAGGCGGUUUCUUAAGUCUGAUGUGAAAGCCUUCGGCUCAACCGAAGAAGUGCAUCGGAAACUGGGGAACUUGAGUGCAGAAGAGGACAGUGGAACUCCAUGUGUAGCGGUGAAAUGCGUAGAUAUAUGGAAGAACACCAGUGGCGAAGGCGGCUGUCUGGUCUGUAACUGACGCUGAGGCUCGAAAGCAUGGGUAGCAAACAGGAUUAGAUACCCUGGUAGUCCAUGCCGUAAACGAUGAGUGCUAGGUGUUGGAGGGUUUCCGCCCUUCAGUGCCGCAGCUAACGCAUUAAGCACUCCGCCUGGGGAGUACGACCGCAAGGUUGAAACUCAAAGGAAUUGACGGGGGCCCGCACAAGCGGUGGAGCAUGUGGUUUAAUUCGAAGCAACGCGAAGAACCUUACCAGGUCUUGACAUCCUUUGACCACUCUAGAGAUAGAGCUUUCCCUUCGGGGACAAAGUGACAGGUGGUGCAUGGUUGUCGUCAGCUCGUGUCGUGAGAUGUUGGGUUAAGUCCCGCAACGAGCGCAACCCUUAUUACUAGUUGCCAGCAUUUAGUUGGGCACUCUAGUGAGACUGCCGGUGACAAACCGGAGGAAGGUGGGGACGACGUCAAAUCAUCAUGCCCCUUAUGACCUGGGCUACACACGUGCUACAAUGGAUGGUACAACGAGUCGCGAGACCGCGAGGUUUAGCUAAUCUCUUAAAACCAUUCUCAGUUCGGAUUGUAGGCUGCAACUCGCCUACAUGAAGCCGGAAUCGCUAGUAAUCGCGGAUCAGC
rnacentral:rRNA from 1 species